rnacentral:rRNA from 1 species
UACGAAGGGGGGCUAGCGUUGCUCGGAAUCACUGGGCGUAAAGCGCACGUAGGCGGACUCUUAAGUCGGUGGUGAAAUCCUGGAGCUCAACUCCAGAACUGCCUUUAAGACUGCAUCGCUUGAAUCCAGGAGAGGUGAGUGGAAUUCCGAGUGUAGAGGUGAAAUUCGUAGAUAUUCGCAAGAACACCAGUGGCGAAGGCGGCUCACUGGCCCGAUACUGACGCUGAGGCACGAAAGCGUGGGGAGCAAACAGG